rnacentral:rRNA from 1 species
GCCUACGGCCAUACCACCCUGAACGCACCCGAUCUCAUCUGAUCUCGGGAGCAAAGCAGGGUCGGGCCUGGUCGGUACUUGGAUGGGAGAGCGAGAAGGUGCUCUCUGUGCCCAACCUAGCGGCCCUUGAUA